GGGCCCGUAGCUCAGUGGUCAGAGCAGGGGACUCAUAAUCCCUCGGUCGGAGGUUCGAUCCCUCCCGGGCCCA
rnacentral:tRNA from 1 species